AGCCACGUUGCGGGUUUCCUAUACAUGCAGUCGAGCGAACAGACAAGGAGCUUGCUCCUUUGACGUUAGCGGCGGACGGGUGAGUAACACGUGGGUAACCUACCUAUAAGACUGGGAUAACUUCGGGAAACCGGAGCUAAUACCGGAUAAUAUUUCGAACCGCAUGGUUCGAUAGUGAAAGAUGGUUUUGCUAUCACUUAUAGAUGGACCCGCGCCGUAUUAGCUAGUUGGUAAGGUAACGGCUUACCAAGGCGACGAUACGUAGCCGACCUGAGAGGGUGAUCGGCCACACUGGAACUGAGACACGGUCCAGACUCCUACGGGAGGCAGCAGUAGGGAAUCUUCCGCAAUGGGCGAAAGCCUGACGGAGCAACGCCGCGUGAGUGAUGAAGGUCUUCGGAUCGUAAAACUCUGUUAUUAGGGAAGAACAUACGUGUAAGUAACUGUGCACGUCUUGACGGUACCUAAUCAGAAAGCCACGGCUAACUACGUGCCAGCAGCCGCGGUAAUACGUAGGUGGCAAGCGUUAUCCGGAAUUAUUGGGCGUAAAGCGCGCGUAGGCGGUUUUUUAAGUCUGAUGUGAAAGCCCACGGCUCAACCGUGGAGGGUCAUUGGAAACUGGAAAACUUGAGUGCAGAAGAGGAAAGUGGAAUUCCAUGUGUAGCGGUGAAAUGCGCAGAGAUAUGGAGGAACACCAGUGGCGAAGGCGACUUUCUGGUCUGUAACUGAC
rnacentral:rRNA from 1 species